AAAGAAUAUAUAAGGCCUUAUAAUUCAUUACAAUCUCAAGAUCCCAUGAAGACUAUUGAUUUUAAUUCAUAAUAAAUAUUCUAUAUUAACAAAUAUCAAAUUUUAUAUAAUUUACAAAACUCGAUCCUUUAACUGAUAUUGAUGAUGCUCUAUAUAAUUGAUCCUUUCAAAUUGAGAUCCUAAUCUUAGCCAAGUACAAGUA
rnacentral:lncRNA from 1 species